CUUGUCUCAAAGAUUAAGCCAUGCAAGUCUAAGUACGAGCUCUCGUACAGCGAAACUGCGAAUGGCUCAUUAAAUCAGUUAUGGUUCAUUUGAUCGUAUGGUUUACUUGGAUAACUGUGGUAAUUCUAGAGCUAAUACAUGCAAACAGCGCCGACUUCGCGGGAGGCGUGCUUUUAUCAGACCAAAAACCGACCGCGGCUCCGGCCGCGUUCGACUGGUGACUCUGGAUAACCUGGCGGAUCGCACGGUCUAGCACCGGCGACGGAUCAUUCAAGUGUCUGCCCUAUCAACUUUCGUCGGUACGGUAUUCGCCUACCGAGGUUCUUACGGGUAACGGGGAAUCAGGGUUCGAUUCCGGAGAGGGAGCCUGAGAAACGGCUACCACAUCCAAGGAAGGCAGCAGGCGCGCAAAUUACCCAUUCCCGACGCGGGGAGGUAGUGACGAAAAAUAACAAUGCAGGACUCAUUCGAGGCCCUGUAAUUGGAAUGAGUACACUUUAAAAGCUUUAACGAGUAUCCAUUGGAGGGCAAGUCUGGUGCCAGCAGCCGCGGUAAUUCCAGCUCCAAAAGUAUAUAUUUAAGUUGUUGCGGUUGAAAAGCUCGUAGUUGGAUUUUGGGCGCGGGCGGUCGGUCCGUCGCGAGGCGUGUACUGGUCGACCCGGCCUUACGUCCGGUUCUCCGGCGGUGCUCUUGACUGAGUGUCGGCGGCGGCCGGAAAGUUUACUUUGAAAAAAUUAGAGUGUUCAAAGCAGGCUCUCGAGCCUGAAUAAUGGUGCAUGGAAUAAUGGAAUAGGACCUCGGUUCUAUUUUGUUGGUUUUCGGAGCGCGUGGAUAUGGUAGAUGAACCUUCGGUAAUGGACGGACUGCCAGAAGAAAUCCUAGAAAAGAUUUUCCGCUUUUUGUGUCCUUACCAAGAAUUUGAUGUUGCCGCCCUCGUGUGUAAGAGGUGGCAUCGAAUUA
rnacentral:rRNA from 1 species